CAUGGUUGUCGUCAGCUCGUGUCGUGAGAUGUUCGGUUAAGUCCGCUACGAGCGCAACCCUCGCUGUGUGUUAUAUGUGUCACACGGGACUGCCGGUCUUAAGCCGGAGGAAGGUGGGGAUGAUGUCAAGUCAGCAUGGCCUUUAUAUCCUGGGCUACACACACGCUACAAUGGCCAACACAAUAGGUUGCUAAGCCGCGAGGUGGCGCCAAUCCAUAAAGUUGGUCUCAGUUCAGAUUGUAGGCUGCAACCCGCCUGCAUGAAGAUGGAGUUGCUAGUAACCGCAGGUCAGCUAUACUGCGGUGAAUACGUUCCCGGGGCUU
rnacentral:rRNA from 1 species